AUUUUUCCCUCACUUCUCAUUGGGCAGAACUGGGUCACAUGCUAACUCCUCAACCAAUUAUCCGCAAGAGAAUCGUACGGCCGGGAUUAGCUUGAACCAAUCAUCUGCCGUGCGGGGGCUGAUGGGAAGCCAACCACCUACCCUAAAAAAGAUACGUGGAAGGAGGAUCUGCCGCGCUAAACGGCCAGCACAGUGGACCUUCUGCUUCCUUCAGCUUUGAACCCCCAGCUCAGGACCCUGAAGACACUCAGCAAUUAGGGAGUGGGCUGGGUGACCUCAGGCAAGUGACAAGUCUGUUUUUGCCUCCAGACCUGUUUUUCCAUCUGUACAACGAGGAUAGUAUAAGCACCCGCCCAUUGAGAUUGCUGCACUGAAAGUUCAAUACCUGCCUUCCCUUGUGGAGAACACAUUGGCAGGACCAUACUAGGUGCUCAAUAAACAUUUGUUGCACAUAUCAAUACA